UAAAAAUUGUCACCAAGGCUAAACUCACCGGC
rnacentral:piRNA from 1 species